CUACCCACUGAACCAUCUCACCAGGCCAGUGCUAAGAUCUGUAUUUCCUGUGGCUCCAGCAUGAGCAUGAGGCCCAAGGAGAAGAGAAGAAGCCCUCAGCCUGCUACUCUUGCAGGUUUGCACACGCAAGCAUUCGUUUAAGAAGUUUAUGACUUGGAGAAGAUAGAUAAGCUAAUCUGGGCAGCGUGCCAGGCACAGGCUCCCAGGAAUGUGCUGGGAGCCAAGUGUGAAACAGAUUCUGCAUCGGGAUGGCACCGUGGUAGAGGUGACCCUAAACCCAGGCCACUUAAGGAUAUGCACAGUUUUGUCUUCAGAUCCCAAUCCCUCUGAGUGUCUACCAGAUGGUUCCGCAGAAUCGCGUUGGAGGGAGCAGGGGAGUUUACCCAACCGUAUGAAAAUGACUGUUUCAAGUUGGCUCACACUAGCACUGAAUAAACACAU